AAUUUUGCCCUUUUUCCCUUCUUAUUAAAACAUUUUGCUCUAAUUUCAUUCGAAACGCUACAAUCCUAUCCCCAUUCAACCAGCCUUGUAACUCGAUCUAUGCCAUCCCCCUUUCUGGCAUGUCCUCUUCGACCAGCUCUUGCCAAUGUUUCCUCUCUCUGGCCAACUUCUUGACUGACGACCCUCUCUCACACUCCCUCUCAGAAAUUUGAUCGUGAAACCAUGUAUAUACCAAGAUACUUGGAUAGCGCACUAUUUGCUGGAGCAAAUUCUGAAACUUCUUUGCUAAAACUGCUGCUUCUUCUUCAGCUGGGACGGUUUACAAUCCUCUUGAGGAGUUAAAGAGGCUGAUAGAAGCCCAGAUGAAGAAAAAGCAGUUGUCUAUGGUAAAAAUAUUUCAAGUUUCUAAAGACCAAGACCAUUAUUUGAUGCGACAUGUUCGAUGCAACAAGUUCAAUGCAACAUUCGCCUCCCACUCCACUUCCACCACUGCCCACCAACACCGUUAUUAUUGUUAGUUGCACUUGUUUAUAUAUUUUAUUUUCUUAUAUUGUACAUAUUAUAUGUAUGUAAUGACAUUAUUAUUUUAUAAAUAUUAUUUACAAUUUGGGUAUUAUAAAAAUUUUUUAAUUUGCUUUUA